rnacentral:rRNA from 1 species
UUGACGGGGAGCACCACAACGGGUGAGCUUGCGGUUUAAUUGGAUUCAACGCCGGAAAUCUUACCGGGACCGACAGCAAUAUGAAGGCCAGGCUGAAGACUUUGCCGGAUUAGCUGAGAGGUGGUGCAUGGCCGUCGUCAGUUCGUACUGUGAAGCAUCCUGUUAAGUCAGGCAACGAGCGAGACCCACGCCCACAGUUGCCAGCGUACUCUCUGGAGUGACGGGUACACUGUGGGGACCGCCGCUGCUAAAGCGGAGGAAAGAAUGGGCAACGGUAGGUCAGUAUGCCCCGAAUAUCCCGGGCUACACGCGAGCUACAAUGGUUGGUACAAUGGGUAUCUACCCCGAAAGGGGACGGGAAUCUCCUAAAACCAAUCUUAGUUCGGAUUGAGGGCUGCAACUCGCCCUCAUGAAGCUGGAAUCCGUAGUAAUCGCGUUUCAACAGAACGCGGUGAAUACGUCCCUGCUCCUU